GAUAGUUCAGUGGCAGAGCAUCUGUUUUGCAUGCAGAAGGUUCCAGGUUCAAUCUCUGGCACCUCCA